rnacentral:sRNA from 1 species
UAUCGCAGCCCUUCUUGGGCGUUUCCUCCCUAGACUUCAGGCCGCCUCGCAAGAGAGCGGCCUUUUUUUUGUCCUGA